rnacentral:rRNA from 1 species
UCGGGAAUUUUGGGCAAUGGGCGAAAGCCUGACCCAGCAACGCCGCGUGAAGGAUGAAGUAUUUCGGUAUGUAAACUUCGAAAGAAUAGGAAGAAUAAAUGACGGUACUAUUUAUAAGGUCCGGCUAACUACGUGCCAGCAGCCGCGGUAAUACGUAGGGACCAAGCGUUGUUCGGAUUUACUGGGCGUAAAGGGCGCGUAGGCGGCAAUUCAAGUCAUCUGUGAAAUCUCCGGGCUUAACUCGGAACGGUCAGAUGAUACUGCUUUGCUAGAGUGCAGAAGGGGCAAUCGGAAUUCUUGGUGUAGCGGUGAAAUGCGUAGAUAUCAAGAGGAACACCUGAGGUGAAGACGGGUUGCUGGGCUGACACUGACGCUGAGGCGCGAAAGCCAGGGGAGCAAACGGGGAUUAGAUACCCAUGUAGUCCCUGAGCGGGCUGGCAAGGCGCAU